AGAGGGUGCUAUUUACAGUAUCGGACGACCGUUCGUCUGCAGUUUAUUUUUGUACGUAUCUGCAGUAUUAAAUACAGUUAUUAAAAAAGAAAGAAGGAAAAAUAAAUAAAUAAAGAUAAAAACAAGAGCGACGUCGAGAUGAAACUUCACGUUAAUGUAACGUAUUGUGGUGCAUGAGGAUAUGAUGGCAAGUACAGGGCUUUUAAAAAAGACCUGGAAAGUCAUUUUCCUGACCAAUUACAGAUUACCUAUAAAGCAACACCAACUGUAACAGGUUUUUUUGAAGUGGAGCUUGAGGAUGGAACUUUACUUCAUUCUAAAAAGAAUGGAGAUGGUUUUGUUGACAGUGAAGUUAAGUUAAAUAAGAUUAUAAUGGGAAUAGAGAAAGCACUUGAAGGCAGAUAACUUAAUGCAUUAUUUGCUGAAAUUAAAAACGAUUUUCAUGCUUCAUAGUUGAAUUUUGCUAAACAAUACAAAUGCCUUAUGAAACCAAAUCCUCAAAACUAAAAUGGCAAAAGGGGGAUUUGGUGGAAGUCUUCAGGAGUUCUGUUGGUGAAUUUUAUCUGUGAUCAUGAAAAAUCAAAUUGUCCAUAUUAAUUUUUCCAAAUGAAAUAAUUAAGAAAUUAAAUUAUCUGUAAUUUAUCAAUAAAAUUGCCAUUAAUGAACCACAGAUCCAUUCACUUCUUUAUUUUGUA